rnacentral:rRNA from 1 species
UACGGGGGGGGCUAGCGUUGUUCGGAAUUACUGGGCGUAAAGGGCGCGUAGGCGGCCUACUAAGUCGGACGUGAAAUCCCUCGGCUCAACCGGGGAACUGCGUCCGAUACUGGUGGGCUCGAAUCCGGGAGAGGGAUGUGGAAUUCCAGGUGUAGCGGUGAGAUGCGUAGAUAUCUGGAGGAACACCGGUGGCGAAGGCGGCAUCCUGGACCGAGAUUGACGCUGAGGCGCGAAAGCCAGGGGAGCAAACGGG